rnacentral:rRNA from 1 species
GAUAUAAUGGAAGCGGAUGGAGCCGACGUAUCUUGCGCGUAUUCAAUUCCGCGACAUUGCAAUCGCUUCCGUUGACAUUCCGCAAGGUUGUCCUCGGAGUGUUGUUGUUGUGUUCGUUGGGUGCAUUUGCGUGCGGAGUGCGCCGAGUGGAUCGAUGUCGCUGCCGGAUGGGCGUAUAGAGGACUCGUUUACGAGAAUCCUGUACGUUCGGAUAGCAGGUGAUGUUGGUUCGCAUUGUGGAGUGCGGGUGAAUUCGCGAUGGGAGUUGGUUGUGAGUUGUUGUUUCGGAUGGCACAUGUGUCUUUCGUUCCAGCGGCCUACGAUCGGCUUCCGUUGCCCCGGCACUCGACUCGGUGUGUAGUCGGUCACCCAUUCGACCCGUCUUGAAACACGGACCAAGGAGUUUAAGGUGUACGCGAGUCAUUGAGCAGCAACGAAACUCAAAGGCGCAAUGAAAGUGAGACAUUUGAUGUCGACGAUGUGAGCGUUGGGCGUUUCGACGUCCGGCGCGCAACAUCGCCCCGUGACCAGGACUUGUUCUGUUGCGGCGGUUGAGCGUACGCUUUGAGACCCGAAAGAUGGUGAACUAUGCCCGAACAGGAUGAAGCCAGA